UCGGAGGCGGAGCACAGGCCCUGAAGGGAGGAAACGCGGCUUUUUCCGCCUGCGCUUGGCCUGGUGGAGAGCUUCCUUACAUUGAGGGUGGCCCCUGGACCAGGCUGCCCGGGGAGGUUGUGGCGUGUCCCUCUCUGGAGCCAUUCCAACCCCCCCCGGUUUGCUCAAAGCAAGGAGUCGGGAGGUAACCCACGAAAGGUUGGCUCUGUGGUCAUCAAACCCCUACACUAUUUAUACCUUUUAACAAGCAAAGGCAUCAGCAUUUGUUGGCUUUUCUCUUUCCUGUCCUGCUGGAGUGGGGGCAGAAAACAAGGUCAACCCACCCUGUUCUUCUAGAAGGCCUAAGUCCUAGUGGGAAUGGACUGGGAACACCUGUGAAAGCUGGGGCCAAAGCUCCUGGAGUCCCCUAAGAGCAGACUGAAGUUAAACCAGUGGUGAAGAUAGGAUGCUAAGUAAUUUUGCAUUGUGUAACAGAUUGCUAAAGCCCUGGAGCACUGAGAUGAGGUUAACUUUGGAGGCAGGCCUCCCCCUUCCCACAGGCUGGUAAGCAGGGUGAGCCUGGGGCCAGCAGUCAUCCCGGGGCAGGAGGAGAAGGUACAGAAUUGUCAGUGCUAGGGGUGUCACUGGAUGCACAGCAGUGUCAUUGCUCUGCAUGCAAGGCAAGGUGGACCUGAGAGGCCUGCCCUGAGGCAACAGAGAGGAUCCCAAACCAUCAUCUUGUUUCAGCAGGUGUCAUUGUGCAAUGUGAACCUUCCCUAACCAAAGCCAUAGGGAGAAAGAGGAUACAACCUUGAAUAUGGUAAGCCAUGCUCUAAGAGAAACAGAGAGGAUCAUGUACCUGAAAAGCACUCCGAGUAGUAGCCAGAGCUCUCACUGCACCCAAAAAGUGGUCUCCCAGCUGUGCUCUUUUCCAGGAAUCAGAGUGCCUGCCUAGGAAUGCCUGUGCUGGAGCCUGGCAGAGCCACAUCCCCCCAGAUAAGCACCUGCUAUACCAGGCUUCCGGUAUCACAGCUGUGCACGGAGUGGUGGUGUGCGUCCCUGUGCCGGAGCUGCUCCCUCCGUCAGGAAGGUUCAGUAACACUCAGUUCACUGACAGGGCCUUACAGCAGCUGGGGAAAUCAAAGUGGGCAACGACUGUGUGGUUAGAGGCAGCUGGGGCUGAAGUGCUUGCAAGAGUCACAGCGCUGAAACUUCCACCCCAGGCAGCAGAAGGGGGCUUGGUGUGUUACAGGGUAAAGUAGAUUCAGGACAAAGAGGAGAAAUGAGGUAAAGAGAGAAGCAAGAUGGUACCAGAGUCAAACUCACUAUUUUUACUGGGUUUUUUUUUCCCUAGGGUUUCAAAAAAUUUGGAAAGCCAUUAUCAAUAGUGAAAGUACAGCACUGAAGUCAUGGCAUCUCUAGAAAUUAGAUUCUAGACAGGUGGUUUGAUUUUGCCCAACAGGCCCCAGCAGAAGGUAUCUCCAACGUUGCAGUGAGUUAGUUCUCCCCCGUGGGCAAACUGCCUAAUUAAGCUUUGAGGAGAAUAAAUGAGUGCCAACAGGCUUCUGCAACAAGGGGAGAAGUUCUGGUGUCACAGCCCCACUGUGUUUAGCACUGCUUGCCAGCGUCUCUUCAUUAACUCUCUUAGUUUAGACUCUCUACAAAUAUAAGUCACUAAGUCAUGAAGUAAGCUUAAAAUACCACAAUUAUGCCAAUGUGUUUUCCAUGGUUUUACUGAAACUGAGAAAGUAGUUCUGUACCAAAAUGUACACAGUUUAGUAAUAAUACAAAAAGGUAAUUCUGCCAGACAGAAUGUCAGUAAAAUCCACCAAAAUGAACACUGAACCACCAUUUAUUGCCCGACCAGUGUUACUUUAAAUAAAUCAUUGAAUGAACAUAGAAACAAAGUAAUUCCAAGUUUUCUUAAAUAAAAAUAGUAGUGAUCAGCAACAAUACUGCAGGAAGAUAAACAUUCAUGGCAUUUGCUAUUUACAUGCCAUUAUAACAUAUCUAGCAUGUAGUAUGUCUUCAUGCUUGCACAUUACAUUUAUGAGCUCAUUACAAUGGAUAUUAAUGCAUAGAUGUACUACAAAGCAACCCACCAUGAUGUAUAUCAAAUCUGCACAUUAGAAGAGCACCUCUACUAGUCACCCCUUCAGGAAUGAUGGUGCAGGAAUACCAGCCCAAUCCAGAUUCCCCCCACAAAAGUCAAACAAGAAAAGCCCAAACCAACCAAUCAAAAAAAUCAUCAAGCAUAUUGAUAAUCUUCAUCCUGUGAUUAACUAGGCAGGGCUAUGCCUUUAGCAGUAUUCCCAAAGGUGAAUCAAACCAGAAUAAACCUGGGUUUUCUUUAUUACAGUAACAACACCUGAGACUGCUUCACUGGUCCAAGUACAGUAUUUUAUUACAAAAACUGCUUCUUACAUUAACAUGUCAUUUCAUUGAAUCCCCUUAAUUAGUACUUUUCAUUGACAAAAAAGGUAAGAUUUCUUCUUAAAAUAAAUACUCCCCCCCCCCCCCCCCCCCCCCCAACAAAAGUUUAAAAGGAAAU